rnacentral:rRNA from 1 species
UGACUUUUUGACACAAAAGUCGUGCACGCCGGAGCACGUCCUCUCUCUCACAUAAAAUCCAUCUCACCCUUUUGUGCACCACCGCGCGGGCACCCUUUGGGAUGCUUGCGUUUUCACACAAACCCCUUUUAAAAAAGUGUAGAAUGACCCCACUUUGCGAUGACACGCAAUCAAUACAACUUUCAACAACGGAUCUCUUGGCUCUCGCAUCGAUGAAGAACGCAGCGAAAUGCGAUACGUAAUGUGAAUUGCAGAAUUCAGUGAAUCAUCGAAUCUUUGAACGCACCUUGCGCCCCUUGGUAUUCCGAGGGGCACACCCGUUUGAGUGUCGUGAAAAUCUCAACCUUCUCGGUUUUCUUCUGGACACCGAAGGAGGCUUGGACUUUGGAGGCCUUUGCUGGCGUCUCUCUAGAGCCAGCUCCUCUUAAAUGAAUUAGCGGGGUCCUCUUUGCCGAUCCUUGACAUGUGAUAAGAUGUUUCCAUGACUCGGUUUCUGGCUCUGUUGCAUUUGGGACCUGCUUCUAACCGUCUCGACGAGACGACGUUUGGGCGUGUCUCCCUUCUCGGGAGACUCUCUCGACCCCACGAACCCUUGACCUCAAAUCGGGUGAGACUACCCGCUGAACUUAAGCAUAUCAAUA